GUUGGUCAUUGUGGAAAGCUUUUCUACUGCUUCUAGUAGAGAUACUUGGUCUCUCCAGCUCUCUCAAAAAACCCGGAACCAAAAAUCUCUCUCAAUUCCAGCAGCCACCGCCACCACUCAGACGCCCCUAAAGCUCUCGGCCAACCAAGCUCACUCAUUUGGGCUUCCACGCCCACCCAACAAAACCCCUAAUAACAAUCACAACAAUCCAUAGAGGGGUUAUGAACAUCAUCAACUCGCCCAGCACCUCCACUAUAGUGGGUCGUCUCAGAAUCUCCAUAAAAGAGCAUCUAUAUAUAUAUAUAUAUUGGGAAGUGUAUUGACAUUCCAAAAAUCUCAUUCAAUCAUAAGUGUAUAUUUAUUUCUCAAUAUAGAAAGUUUGUAGUGUAGAAUGAGAUUUUUGGAGUGCUAAUAACAAUUCAUUUUUUUUGGAAACGGAAAAUUUCAAGCUCUCUCUCGCUCUCCUUGGUUGCUGACAGAAACAGAUGCUAAAGGGAAUCAGGAGAUCAAAACUUGAUUGGUAAUCUGCAAAUCCAUGAGGAUUUUGGCAACAUGGGUUGGUCCAAAUCUGAUUAGGGAGGGCUCUUUGAUCAAAAGGGAGCUGUUUUUCUGUACAUUUGAGAGAACCCAGAAGGUAGGAUUUGAUUAUUGUGGACAAGUUAAUAUGUGUUGCAGCUGCUUUGUUGCUUCGGUUGCUGAGAGGAAAAGGAAAUCUGGUUCUGGUUCUGGUCGAUUUGGCCAUGAUCUUGAUGAGAAUGUGCUGGAAAAUAUCAAGGCUUUCUCCUACAAUGAAUUAAGAUCCGCGACUUUCAUCCGAGUAGUAAGAUAGGUCGAGGCGGUUUUGGAACUGUAUACAAGGCUAAGAAUUGUGGUUAGCUUAGAGGAAAAUGUGAGAUUAGCAAUUUGAAGAGUCUACUUUCUCCUCGUAUGUUUGCUUUAACAUGUGUAAGUUGUAAUUAUUAUUUUUCUCUUCAUGGCGUACUUAAAAUUUGUAGAUCAGCAUAUAUUUGUUUUUGACAUUUCUUAUUAAAUGUAUUUGAAAACUAACUGAAGAAAGUAUCCAAUUUUUUAGCAAUUAAAAAAAAUCACCUCAAUAAUUACAGUUUUA